UGCCAUAUCAAUAAGCGGAGGAAAAGAAACCAACCGGGAUUGCCUCAGUAACGGCGAGUGAAGCGGCAAGAGCUCAAAUUUGAAAGCUGGCUCCUUCGGGGUCCGCAUUGUAAUUUGCAGAGGAUGCUUCGGGUGCGGCCCCUGUCUAAGUGCCCUGGAACGGGCCGUCAGAGAGGGUGAGAAUCCCGUCUGGGAUGGGGUKYCCGCGCCCGUGUGAAGCUCCUUCGACGAGUCGAGUGUUUGGGAAU
rnacentral:rRNA from 1 species